CAACGUAGGUAAUUUACCUUCGGAUGGGGAAUAACAAUCGGAAACGGUUGCUAAUACCGCAUAAUGCAGCGGCACCUAAUGGUGACAGUUGUUAAAGCGGGGGAUCGAAAGACCUCGCGUCUGAAGAGGAGCCUGCGGCGGAUUAGCUAGUUGGUAAGGUAACGGCUUACCAAGGCGACGAUCCGUAGCCGGCCUGAGAGGGCGGUCGGCCACACUGACACUGACAUACGGGUCAG
rnacentral:rRNA from 1 species